rnacentral:lncRNA from 1 species
CUCUGAAGCAGGGUGCACUGGUGCAUGCCUGUAAUCUCACUGACUUGGGAGGCUGAGGGAGGAGGAUCACAAGUUGAAGGAGAACCUCAACUACUUAGGGAGACCCUGUCUCAAGAUAAAAUAAUAAUAAUAAAAAAAAAAUUAGAAGGGCUGAGGAUGAACUCAGUGGUAAAGUACCCCUGGUUUUUCAAUCCCCAGGACCAAAUCAUCAUCAUCAUCAUACUAAAGCCCAUUAAUAUGUACAACAUAUUCGUGUUCAUCAAAAAUAAAACAAAAUAUUUAAAAAUAUUUUAAAAAGAACAUACAGAUGGCUGAGUACAAGAAAGGCUUGGUCAUGGAAUAAAUAAAAAAGAAGUCAAAAGCUACAAACGCAUCUUAGAAUGAGACUGCCAACCUUGUUCAUAAUCUGGGGAUUUAAAAAUAAAACCACAGGAAGAUACCACCUUAUUCUUACCAGAAGAGCAAAAAGAAAGAGUCUGAUGACACCAAGUGUUGGGGAAGAGGAGGGUGUUACAGCGAUUCCAACCUGGGCUGGUGGCCUUGUUAAUUAGUUCAACCGUGUUGGGAUCAGUUUGGCAUUACAGGGCAUCGUGGGAAAAGUGCCUAUCUCUCUGGAGAAAUUCUUAACACGCCUAGAACUUGAGACAGUGGAGACUCCAGUGUGGAUCAUAACAACCCCAGUAGGAAUCAACCUAAACACCCACAAAUAUCAGAAUGGAUAAAUAAAUUUUAUAUUAUUUCUGCAACAGCUUUUCACACUGCUAUAGAAACGACAUGAUUUAACAGCUGCUCACACAAGAUAGAGAAACCCUGCGAUCAGAAUUCGAAUAAGUCCCAUGGUAUGAGUCCUAAGAGGACAUCAAAAGAAUGAAUCACAGAAAGUGCA